UAGGGAAUCUUCGGCAAUGGGGGGAACCCUGACCGAGCAACGCCGCGUGAGUGAAGAAGGUUUUCGGAUCGUAAAGCUCUGUUGUUAAGGAAGAACGAGUGUGAGAAUGGAAAGUUCAUGCUGUGACGGUACUUAACCAGAAAGGGACGGCUAACUACGUGCCAGCAGCCGCGGUAAUACGUAGGUCCCGAGCGUUGUCCGGAUUUAUUGGGCGUAAAGCGAGCGCAGGCGGUUAGAAAAGUCUGAAGUGAAAGGCAGUGGCUCAACCAUUGUAGGCUUUGGAAACUGUUUAACUUGAGUGCAGAAGAGGAGAGUGGAAUUCCAUGUGUAGCGGUGAAAUGCGUAGAUAUAUGGAGGAACACCAGUGGCGAAGGCGACUCUCUGGUCUGUAACUGAGGCUGAGGCUCGAAAGCGUGGGUAGCAAACAGG
rnacentral:rRNA from 1 species